CCAGAUCUACGGAACAACAGAGGGAAACUUCUGCUAAUACCGUAUACGCCCUACGGGGGAAAGAUUUAUCGGAUUUGGAUGAGCCCGCGUAAGAUUAGCUAGUUGGUGAGGUAAUGGCUCACCAAGGCGACGAUCUUUAGCUGGUCUGAGAGGAUGAUCAGCCACACUGGGACUGAGACACGGCCCAGACUCCUACGGGAGGCAGCAGUGGGGAAUAUUGGACAAUGGGCGCAAGCCUGAUCCAGCCAUGCCGCGUGAGUGAUGAAGGCCUUAGGGUUGUAAAGCUCUUUCAGUGGGGAAGAUAAUGACGGUACCCACAGAAGAAGCCCCGGCUAACUUCGUGCCAGCAGCCGCGGUAAUACGAAGGGGGCUAGCGUUGUUCGGAUUUACUGGGCGUAAAGCGCACGUAGGCGGUUUGUUAAGUCAGAGGUGAAAUCCUGGAGCUCAACUCCAGAACUGCCUUUGAUACUGGCAAGCUCGAGUCCGGAAGAGGUAAGUGGAACUCCUAGU
rnacentral:rRNA from 1 species